UGUGUGGAUCCUGGAGGAGGCA
rnacentral:miRNA from 1 species